GCCUGGGUGGCUCAGUUGGUUUAGCGCCUGACUUCAGCUCAGGUCAUGACCUCGCAGUCUGUGAGUUCAAGCCCCGCAUCAGGCU
rnacentral:tRNA from 1 species